AUGAGGGUGGGCUGGCAUCAGCUGCUUGUCUGUGGGUGCUGCUGUUGCAGGAAGCAUCGCACACUGAGUAUUUAUGAAGAGCAGGGAUCCAUGGGAUGCCCUCCUAGCCCUGGAGGCAGAAAGUCCAGGUCCCAGGGGUCAGAGGUGCCUUCUUGCUGUAUCAUCCUGUGUCAGAGGGUGUGGGGGCAUGACAUCAGGGGGAGAGAGGAAGAAAAAGGACAGAGAGGAAAGGAGAAGAGGAAGAAGAUGAAGAGAGAAGAAGGAAGAGAGGAGAGGAGAAAGGAGAGAAGACACACACAUGUGGUGUUUAUGUCAUCCCAGACAACAGCAGUUAUUACAACUACUGACGAUUAUCCACAGCCUCAGUUUGCCCCCAGCAGACUUUCGCAUCCAGCAGCAGGAUGAGAAGGGUCAGGACUCGAAGAAGAUUGUUCUAUACAUCAAACAGCAUCAGAUCACAGACAAGGAAAUAUCAGACCCAGAGAGCCGCAAAUCAAACAGGAAAGACAAUUCUUGUUUCCCAUGAGCAUCUAAAGAGGCAGACUUGUCAGUGCUCCAGUGGUUAAUUGCGGAAUCAAAGCCGCGCUCUGCUUUGUAACUGACUGCAGAAGCACUGUCCCUGGAGCACAGUUUAUGGUGAUUCUGUUGGCUGUUUCAG
rnacentral:lncRNA from 1 species